rnacentral:rRNA from 1 species
AUUGAACGCUGGCGGCGGGCUUAACACAUGCAAGUCGAGCGGAGUGAUGGUGCUUGCACUAUCACUUAGCGGCGGACGGGUGAGUAAUGCUUAGGAAUCUGCCUAUUAGUGGGGGACAACAUCCCGAAAGGGAUGCUAAUACCGCAUACGUCCUACGGGAGAAAGCAGGGGAUCACUUGUGACCUUGCGCUAAUAGAUGACCCUAAGUCGGAUUAGCUAGUUGGUGGGGUAAAGGCCUACCAAGGCGACGAUCUGUAGCGGGUCUGAGAGGAUGAUCCGCCACACUGGGACUGAGACACGGCCCAGACUCCUACGGGAGGCAGCAGUGGGGAAUAUUGGACAAUGGGGGGAACCCUGAUCCAGCCAUGCCGCGUGUGUGAAGAAGGCCUUAUGGUUGUAAAGCACUUUAAGCGAGGAGGAGGCUCUUUUGGUUAAUACCCAAGAUGAGUGGACGUUACUCGCAGAAUAAGCACCGGCUAACUCUGUGCCAGCAGCCGCAGUAA